GACGUAGGGGGCAAGCGUUGUCCGGAUUCAUUGGGCGUAAAGGGCUCGUAGGCGGCUUAGCAAGUCAGGUGUGAAACCUCCAGGCUUAACCUGGAGACGCCACUUGAGACUGCUAUGGCUAGAGUGCGGUAGGGGACCAUGGAAUCUCCGGUGUAGCGGUGAAAUGCGCAGAUAUUCGGAGGAAUACCAGUGGCGAAGGCGGCUACCUGGACCAGCACUGACACUGAGGCACGAAAGCGUGGGGAGCAAACAGG
rnacentral:rRNA from 1 species